UUUUCCUACGGGGGGCAGCAGUGAGGAAUAUUGGUCAAUGGGCGGUAGCCUGAACCAGCCAAGUAGCGUGAAGGAUGAAGGUUCUAUGGAUUGUAAACUUCUUUUAUAAAGGAAUAAAGUGAGGCACGUGUGCCUUUUUGUAUGUACUUUAUGAAUAAGGAUCGGCUAACUCCGUGCCAGCAGCCGCGGUAAUACGGAGGAUCCGAGCGUUAUCCGGAUUUAUUGGGUUUAAAGGGUGCGCAGGCGGAAGAUCAAGUCAGCGGUAAAAUUGAGAGGCUCAACCUCUUCGAGCCGUUGAAACUGGU
rnacentral:rRNA from 1 species